rnacentral:rRNA from 1 species
AACGCACCUUGCGCUCCCUGGUAUUCCGGGGAGCACGCCUGUUCGAGUGUCAUGAAACUCUCAAACAGCAUAGCUUUAUUGUUAUGUUCUGUUUGGAUUUGGACUCUGCCGCUUUUACGAGUGGCUGGUCUUAAAUGUAUUAGCUGGCCUUUGUGAGUCUUGGUUCUACUCGGCGUGAUAAUUAUCUAACGUUGAGGACAGUCUUCGGAUUGGCCAAAGUCUUCAAAGACCGCUUCUAAUCGUCUUUGGACAAUAUAUUUCUACAUCUGACCUCGAAUCAGGCGGGACUACCCGCUGAACUUAA